UACGUAGGGUGCAAGCGUUGUCCGGAAUUAUUGGGCGUAAAGAGCUCGUAGGCGGUCUGUCGCGUCUGCUGUGAAAACUCAGGGCUUAACCCUGAGCUUGCAGUGGGUACGGGCAGACUAGAGUGCGGUAGGGGGAGACUGGAAUUCCUGGUGUAGCGGUGAAAUGCGCAGAUAUCAGGAGGAACACCGGUGGCGAAGGCGGUUCUCUGGGCAUGUCCUGA
rnacentral:rRNA from 1 species